rnacentral:rRNA from 1 species
UCAUAUGCUUGUCUCAAAGAUUAAGCCAUGCAUGUCUAAGUACGUGCCUAAGAAAGGUGAAACCGCGAAUGGCUCAUUAAAUCAGUUAUGGUUCCUUAGAUCGUACCUUACUACUUGGAUAACUGUGGUAAUUCUAGAGCUAAUACAUGCAGCAGAGCUCCGACCUUCGGGGACGAGCGCUUUUAUUAGACCAAGACCAAUCGGACUUCGGUCCGAAGCUCAUGGUGACUCUGGAUAACUUUGGGCUGAUCGCACGGUCUCGUACCGGCGACGCAUCUUUCAAGUGUCUGCCUUAUCAACUUUCGAUGGUAGGUUAUGCGCCUACCAUGGUCGUAACGGGUAACGGGGAAUCAGGGUUCGAUUCCGGAGAGGGAGCCUGAGAAACGGCUACCACAUCCAAGGAAGGCAGCAGGCGCGCAAAUUACCCACUCCCGGCACGGGGAGGUAGUGACGAAAAAUAACAAUACGGGACUCUAUUGAGGCCCCGUAAUUGGAAUGAGUACACUCUAAAUCCUUUAACGAGGAUCUAUUGGAGGGCAAGUCUGGUGCCAGCAGCCGCGGUAAUUCCAGCUCCAAUAGCGUAUAUUAAAGUUGUUGCGGUUAAAAAGCUCGUAGUUGGAUCUCAGUUCCAGACGGGUGGUCCACCUCUGGUGGCUACUGCCUGGCCUGAACAAAUCCAGCCGGUUUUCCUUGAUGCUCUUCACCGAGUGUCUUGGGUGACCGGCACGUUUACUUUGAAAAAAUUAGAGUGCUCAAAGCAGGCGUGACGCCUGAAUAAUGGUGCAUGGAAUAAUGGAAUAGGACCUCGGUUCUAUUUUGUUGGUUUUCGGAACACGAGGUAAUGAUUAAGAGGGACAGACGGGGGCAUUCGUAUUGCGACGCUAGAGGUGAAAUUCUUGGACCGUCGCAAGACGAACUACU